rnacentral:rRNA from 1 species
AUUGAACGCUGGCGGCAUGCCUUACACAUGCAAGUCGAACGGUAACAGGGACUUCGGUCCGCUGACGAGUGGCGAACGGGUGAGUAACGCAUCGGAACGUGCCCAGUCGUGGGGGAUAACGCAGCGAAAGCUGUGCUAAUACCGCAUACGAUCUGCGGAUGAAAGCGGGGGACCUUAGGGCCUCGCGCGAUUGGAGCGGCCGAUGUCAGAUUAGGUAGUUGGUGAGGUAAAGGCUCACCAAGCCAACGAUCUGUAGCUGGUCUGAGAGGACGACCAGCCACACUGGAACUGAGACACGGUCCAGACUCCUACGGGAGGCAGCAGUGGGGAAUUUUGGACAAUGGACGAAAGUCUGAUCCAGCCAUUCCGCGUGCAGGAUGAAGGCCCUCGGGUUGUAAACUGCUUUUGUACGGAACGAAAAGGUUUCUCUUAAUACGAGGAGCUCAUGACGGUACCGUAAGAAUAAGCACCGGCUAACUACGUGCCAGCAGCC